AAAAGGCUUUGCAGACGCUGCCGCCGAAGAAAUUCUUGUACUACUAGCCAUGGUCAACCCUACCGUGUUCUUCGACAUUGCCGUCGACGGCGAGCCCUUGGGCCGCGUCUCCUUCGAGCUGUUUGCAGACAAGGUUCCAAAGACAGCAGAAAAUUUUCGUGCUCUGAGCACUGGAGAGAAAGGACUUGGUUAUAAGGGUUCCUGCUUUCACAGAAUUAUUCCAGGGUUUAUGUGUCAGGGUGGUGACUUCACACGCCAUAAUGGCACUGGUGGCAAGUCCAUCUAUGGGGAGAAAUUUGAAGAUGAGAACUUCAUCCUAAAGCAUACAGGUCCUGGCAUCUUGUCCAUGGCAAAUGCUGGACCCAACACAAAUGGUUCCCAGUUUUUCAUCUGCACUGCCAAGACUGAGUGGUUGGAUGGCAAGCAUGUGGUCUUUGGCAAAGUGAAAGAAGGCAUGAAUAUUGUGGAGGCCAUGGAGCGCUUUGGGUCCAGGAAUGGCAAGACCAGCAAGAAGAUCACCAUUGCUGACUGUGGACAACUCGAAUAA